CAAUGUUUCGUCGCACAGACUACGAAGCAAGUUUUUCACCCUGGUAGACAAUGCACAAUAUCAUUGGGAAGAAGAGGAACACCGAGACGUCCUGAAGAGCAUGUUAAUGACAGCCUGUGACCUUGGAGCCUGUACUAAACCGUGGUCAAUCCAGCACAGGGUUGCAAAAUUGGUAACUGACGAAUUUUUUGAUCAAGGCGACAAAGAGAAGCUGCAAUUGAAAAUUCAGCCUCAGGCUCUGAUGGAUAGAGAAAAGGAACACGAACUACCCCAGCUACAAGUUACCUGGAUCGAGUCGGUCUGUUUACCGUUAUAUAAGGCCUUGUCAAAAGUCAACAGAGGUUUUACGGAAAUGGCUGUGGAAGCUGCUCGUAAUAGAGACAAGUGGAAAAUUCUUGCCUCUCGACGAACCAGCUUAACAAAUGGCAGUACUAAUUUGUACGGACAGGAAACUGGUGCUUCAUAAGUUUCUACCAAAACUGGACUCUUCCCUUCAUUUGUCUGCUAUAUCAUCUUUUUUUUCCUGGUUGAUCUUUAAUAACAUUUCAAUAAAACGUAAUUUCUUUGUUUCAAAUGCUGUGAAUAAAUAGCAUUGAACAAAAACUUUUGUCAUUGAAAGUCACCAACUGCCAGUUAAAGUUAUUUGUGUUACAAGCCAAUGAGAGUACUUAAAUAUAUUGUAAAACCAACCAAUGAUAAUACUUGUAUCUUGUAAGGCCAAUCAAUGAGAGUACUUGUAUUUUGAAAAACCAACCAAUGAGAGUACUCGUAUCUUGUAAGAUCAACCAGUAAGAGUGUUUGUGUACUAUGGCAAACCGUGAUUGAAUAAUGUUUAUUAUAAUUUGGCAUCUUCCUUUUUUUCUUGCUUUCCUUAAUAUAUCAUCAUGAACUAUAAGAUUUACUUAAAAUGCAUUUCAAUAUCUUUCGCACUUCAUGUGAGAGUAUCUAUUUUCUUGUUAUGAAUUUUAAUACCUUAACUGACAGAAAAAACAAAUUCUUAUCAAUUAGUA
rnacentral:misc_RNA from 1 species